GUGAGGAAUAUUGGUCAAUGGGCGAGAGCCUGAACCAGCCAAGUAGCGUGAAGGAUGAAGGUUCUAUGGAUUGUAAACUUCUUUUAUACGGGAAUAAAACCUCCCACGUGUGGGAGCUUGUAUGUACCGUAUGAAUAAGCAUCGGCUAACUCCGUGCCAGCAGCCGCGGUAAUACGGAGGAUGCGAGCGUUAUCCGGAUUUAUUGGGUUUAAAGGGAGCGCAGACGGGAGAUUAAGUCAGCUGUGAAAGUUUGCGGCUCAACCGUAAAAUUGCAGUUGAUACUGGUUUCCUUGAGUGCGGUUGAGGUGUGCGGAAUUCGUGGUGUAGCGGUGAAAUGCUUAGAUAUCACGAAGAACCCCGAUUGCGAAGGCAGCACACUAAGCCGUAACUGACGUUCAUGCUCGAAAGUGUGGGUAUCAAACAGGAUUAGAUACCCCUGUAGUCC
rnacentral:rRNA from 1 species